AUAAGACUGGGAUAACUUCGGGAAACCGGAGCUAAUACCGGAUAAUAUUUUGAACCGCAUGGUUCAAAAGUGAAAGACGGUCUUGCUGUCACUUAUAGAUGGAUCCGCGCUGCAUUAGCUAGUUGGUAAGGUAACGGCUUACCAAGGCAACGAUGCAUAGCCGACCUGAGAGGGUGAUCGGCCACACUGGAACUGAGACACGGUCCAGACUCCUACGGGAGGCAGCAGUAGGGAAUCUUCCGCAAUGGGCGAAAGCCUGACGGAGCAACGCCGCGUGAGUGAUGAAGGUCUUCGGAUCGUAAAACUCUGUUAUUAGGGAAGAACAUAUGUGUAAGUAACUGUGCACAUCUUGACGGUACCUAAUCAGAAAGCCACGGCUAACUACGUGCCAGCAGCCGCGGUAAUACGUAGGUGGCAAGCGUUAUCCGGAAUUAUUGGGCGUAAAGCGCGCGUAGGCGGUUUUUUAAGUCUGAUGUGAAAGCCCACGGCUCAACCGUGGAGGGUCAUUGGAAACUGGAAAACUUGAGUGCAGAAGAGGAAAGUGGAAUUCCAUGUGUAGCGGUGAAAUGCGCAGAGAUAUGGAGGAACACCAGUGGCGAAGGCGACUUUCUGGUCUGUAACUGACGCUGAUGUGCGAAAGCGUGGGGAUCAAACAGGAUUAGAUACCCUGGUAGUCCACGCCGUAAACGAUGAGUGCUAAGUGUUAGGGGGUUUCCGCCCCUUAGUGCUGCAGCUAACGCAUUAAGCACUCCGCCUGGGGAGUACGACCGCAAGGUUGAAACUCAAAGGAAUUGACGGGGACCCGCACAAGCGGUGGAGCAUGUGGUUUAAUUCGAAGCAACGCGAAGAACCUUACCAAAUCUUGACAUCCUUUGACAACUCUAGAGAUAGAGCCUUCCCCUUCGGGGGACAAAGUGACAGGUGGUGCAUGGUUGUCGUCAGCUCGUGUCGUGAGAUGUUGGGUUAAGUCCCGCAACGAGCGCAACCCUUAAGCUUAGUUGCCAUCAUUAAGUUGGGCACUCUAAGUUGACUGCCGGUGACAAACCGGAGGAAGGUGGGGAUGACGUCAAAUCAUCAUGCCCCUUAUGAUUUGGGCUACACACGUGCUACAAUGGACAAUACAAAGGGCAGCGAAACCGCGAGGUCAAGCAAAUCCCAUAAAGUUGUUCUCAGUUCGGAUUGUAGUCUGCAACUCGACUACAUGAAGCUGGAAUCGCUAGUAAUCGUAGAUCAGCAUGCUACGGUGAAUACGUUCCCGGGUCUUGUACACACCGCC
rnacentral:rRNA from 2 species